AACGCAUAUUGCGCUGGAGGCUUCGGCCAACAGCAUGUCUGCCUCAGCGUCGGGUUAAUAUCACCACCUAACUACACAUUGUGUGGUUAGCUGUCGGUGGAUCUGGCCGUUCCAGCGAAAGGCGGUAUAUAUAGCCUAUGGCUAUAAAUGCCAGUAGUCCUGCUGGAUCAGCUGAAGUUCAGAGGCUAACUAAGGACCCGUAUAUAUGGGCCGCAACUGGGUAGGUGGUGGCUAUCUCUUUGGGAUGGCUGUCAACAAACGCUUAGUUGUUGGUCUGGGGACUUAUUCGUUGGGCCCUCAACCAGGAAAUGUUAACUCACAUCUUAUUAUUAUCUCGACCUGAGCUCAGGCAAGAACACCCGCUGAACUUAA
rnacentral:misc_RNA from 1 species